rnacentral:rRNA from 1 species
UACGUAGGUGGCAAGCGUUGUCCGGAUUUACUGGGCGUAAAGAGCGCGCAGGCGGUCGUUCAAGUCGCGUGUGAAAGCCCCCGGCUCAACUGGGGAGGGUCACGCGAUACUGAUCGACUCGAAGGCAGGAGAGGGUAGUGGAAUUCCCGGUGUAGUGGUGAAAUGCGCAGAUAUUAGGAGGAACACCGGUGGCGAAGGCGCCACUCUGGGGCCGAAACUGACGCUGAGGAGCGAAAGCGUGGGGAGCAAACAGG